rnacentral:rRNA from 1 species
CGCGGAACCUCGCGCGCCUAAACGGCUGCGUCUGAGGAAUGUCGCGUUUCGGAGGGGCCUUCUCCGACCACACCGACCCCCCCCAAGUCCGCUUGAACGCGGCCACUACCCAGGGAGGGUGCGAGGCCCGUAUGGGGAUUAGGUGUCGGGCGGUCGGACGGCCCCGUCCGUAGAGUCGGGUUGCCUACUAACGCAGCCCAAAGCAGGUGGUAAACUCCAUCUAAGGCUAAAUAUGACCACGAGACCGAUAGCGAACAAGUACCGUGAGGGAAAGUUGAAAAGAACUUUGAAGAGAGAGUUCAAGAGUGCGUGAAACCGUUAAGAGGAAAACGGGUGGAACCUCGAAGGUCGAACGGGGGGAUUCAGUCCGACGGCGUCGGAGGGCAACGGUGCGGCGACCCACCUACUGGGCGCCCCCGUCUUGUCCGACCAGGCGCGGGCGGGCGUAUUUCCCCCUUAGUAGGACGCCGCGACCCGUCGUGGGGUUGCCGAAGGCCUGGGUGGGCGGAACCAUCGCUACUUGAUGGGGACCCCCCGGUGUCCUGGCCGACCCCGCGACGGUCGAAGUGCAAGUGCCCGCCCGACGACAGACGGCUACUGGUCCAGCCAGCCAGCCGGAUGGACAAGGGCGUCCCCUUACUUACUUAGCCGGGACAGAGGCGCUUUUCAGCGGCGUGUAGGUCGGUGAUCCACCCGAANNNNNNNNNNNNNNGGACCAAGGAGUCUAACAUGUGUGCGAGUCAUUGGGCUUACUAAACCCAUGGGCGCAAUGAAAGUAAAGGGCCUCCCCAGAGGGGGCCCGAGGGCUGAUCCGUCUCCCCCGUGGAGGCGGCGCAGGCUCGGGACUUGCACACCCCAUCGUGGGUGGUGAGUACCAAGAGCAAACAUGUUGGGACCCGAAAGAUGGUGAACUAUGCCUGGCCAGGACGAAGCCAGAGGAAACUCUGGUGGAGGUCCGUAGCGAUUCUGACGUGCAAAUCGAUCGUCGGAGCUGGGUAUAGGGGCGAAAGACUAAUCGAACCAUCUAGUAGCUGGUUCCCUCCGAAGUUUCCCUCAGGAUAGCUGGUGCUCGCUACAGAGUUUCAUCCGGUAAAGCGAAUGAUUAGAGGUCUUGGGGACGAAACGUCCUCAACCUAUUCUCAAACUUUAAAUGGGUGAGAGGUCGGGCUUGCUUGACUGAAGCCUCGACAGAGAAUCUGGAGUACCUAGUGGGCCAUUUUUGGUAAGCAGAACUGGCGCUGUGGGAUGAACCAAACGUCGAGUUAAGGGGCCUAAAUGGACGCUCAUCAGAUCCCAUGAAAGGUGUUGGUUGCUAUAGACAGCAGGACGGUGGCCAUGGAAGUCGGAAUCCGCUAAGGAGUGUGUAACAACUCACCUGCCGAAGCAACUAGCCCUGAAAAUGGAUGGCGCUCAAGCGUCCUCCCGAUACUCGACCGUCGGGGCAGUACCGGCCUGCCAGGGUCUCGAAGCCCCGACGAGUAGGAGGGUCGCAGCGGUGAGCGUAGAAGGAGUCCGGCGCGAGCCGGUCUGGAGCCGCCGCUGGUGCAGAUCUUGGUGGUAGUAGCAAAUACUCGAGCGAGAUCCUUGAGGGCUGAAGUGGAGAAGGGUUCCAUGUGAACAUCAGUUGAACAUGGUGCAGUCGAUCCUAAGCCCAAGGAGAAAUCCGCCUUCCACAGUCCCGCCGUGCCGACGAUGAUGUCGAGUUGGCGGGGGGGAGCGGCCGAAAGGCCGGCCGGCCGGCCCAAGGGCUGGCUGGCUGGCUGGCCGGCUGCGAACCCUUGCCGUCCUCCUGACCUACCUGGGAAGGAGGAAACGAGCUGCCGCGUCCAGGGUGGGGCGUCGACGAUAUGCCGGGGUGUCCUCAAAACGACUGGGCCCGAACAGAACGGACUAGACCGACCUACCUACCGGCCGACCUAAUCACAUAAAUCACACUUGUGUGAGUGAGUGAGGAAGUCGGUCACUCGGUGCCGGUCAUUAUUGGUCCGUUCGCUGGGUCCGGCCGACGCAGGCGACUGGUCCAUCCCGUGCGCAGGUGACGGAGAGGCCGAAAGAACGUUCGGGCGUACUGUUCGCCCCGUUCGCACGGCUCCCUCCCUCUCCCUGCGCCGCCGUGGGUGGCCGACGGUGCUGCGGGACGCGUGCCCCGGCGGAGAAGAAUAAGCCCCCGCCCACUACUGUGGCUCGCUCGCUCUAGCGGUCUAUACGGCCGGAAGGUUUUGGGCGAAAGGGAAUCCGGUUCUUAUUCCGGAACCUCCACCCGGAGACGGUGUUACCCCUCGCCUAAAGGUACUCCUGGUGACGGGAGGAAACUCGCUGCUGCCGGCCGCGGUCCAGGGAAGAGUUGUCUUUUCUGCUUAAGAGGUCUUGGCCCUGGAAGCUACUUGCAAGGCGAGAGGGCCUUAUCAAACCCGUAGAGCGUCGCAGUUCUUGCGGCGUCCUGAGUACCGCGAUCUUUUGCCGGUCCCUGAAGCAGCGGGGGAUAGGGGUCAAAUUUUCGGGG